AGUAUAAGCAUCAAGGGGUCCCUUGGCACCCUUGAACUCUCUUGCUCCAGCCUCAUAAACUUCUCUCCUCUUCACUGUAUGAGGUUGUGGAGCUCGAUCCAUGACAUCCCUUAGCAUAUUCCCAAUAUCAUCAACCAGUCCCCUGACCUCAUUGCCCUCAUCGGCAUUGGUCGAAGUAGCCACACGGGGUUGCCGUGGGCGCCUAGGAGGCAUAGUACCUGAGAAAGAAGAAAUUUAGUAGUCCAUAAACAAGACUAACACAAUAAUCACAUAUACCAAAUAACACAUAGCAUCAAAAGCAUAAAAUGCCAAUGAAUCCGCCGCGGUCGGAUCAUCACUCUAUAGACACUACGUGCUACUUAGGCAAAUGUGAUAGUGACAAGGAAGCAGGAAAAGGAAACCCAUAGCUCUGAUACCAACUGACACGACCCACCCCGAAUUUCACCCUGAAACCCGGAGUAAGUCGUGCGGGGACCACCUCCAAGGAAAAUUUACUGAAACAAGGAAAAUUUACUGAAAAGAUUAAGAAAAUCUCCCUUGCAGAUGGACAACCCUAACUCGAAAAUUUCAUAUUACACUCUUAAUUCAACACUUCCGAACAUCACAUAAUUAUCCUUCAGAAAUUCUACACAUAAUAUACAAUAAUCCCAAAGUAUUCAGAGCUACUAAACACAAGCGGAAGCAAGAAAACACGAGUAGGUUGAACAGGUAACCUACUGACGAAAACUGGCAGAAAUGCGGGUGACUAUGCCUCGCCUCCUACUAGAUCCAACCCGAACUCUGCAGACUGGGCAAUUUAAAACGAAGGGCCCAGGGGAAAACAUUUAACAACGUUAGAGUGAGUGGACAAAAAUUAAAAUAAUAAAUAAAAUAUUUAUGUUUCCCCAAAUUAAUUUCUAAGGAAAAAUCGAAUGCAUGCCGCAAGCGAUAAAACUUUUAUCCAUAAAAUAUCGAGCCUCUCAGACUCUAUAAUAUAUGUAUGUAUUUACACUCGUCUAUACUCCCUAUAU
rnacentral:lncRNA from 1 species